CCAGGCGGAGCUGGGAAGGGAGGGCGGGGAGGUGCGUCUGCAGUCCCGGGUUCGGGCCCUAGUAGUCGGUGGCUGGUCGGUGACUGGGACCAGACCGUCGCCUCCUCCCUUUUACAGCUUUAAGUCUGUGACCCGAGGCCUCUCUGUAUAUUCCCGUGGGGUUGGGCCUAGUUGUCCUGGGAGAAACUAGAUGGAUGAGGAGUAUUUCCGAGACAGGUCCCAGGGCCAGCGCAGCCUUUUCUGUUGCAGAACCGCGACUGUUGUUUUGGGAUCCAGGCCGGAGGGUUUGUUGCUUGUGUUCAUUCCAGUUAACCAUUAGUACUCGAGAAGGUGGUACAGAACGCAUCUAUCCCCUUAGAAGAAAAGAAAUUAAAAGCCAAACUAAACUGGGAUAUAUAUUAAUAUAGGAAACUACCACUGAGACAUAGGAAAGUGUAUUAAAAUAUAACUAGUGAGGUGCUAUGUAUAAUUCAGAGGAAGGGGAAAUUAUGCAUGGGCCAGACUACUAACAAAAGGCUCCAAAGCCUGGGAUACGCUGAGGGCCUUUCCAUAACAGAAAAUGAAAAGGAACCUAAAUUUGAGACUAGAUUUGAGGAAAGGCACAGUUGCGCUGGAGUAGAAAGCGUCUGUCUACCGCAGUGGAAACGAUAUGUUAUUGUAUCCCCAGCACCAUACAAAGGACAUACAAGGGCCAAAUACUGUGGGAAUAUUUAUUAAUGAUAUUAAUGAUGAUGCUGUCCGGGCCAAAGGAAAACUUCCGCUUCACCUUCUGAAGUUUCGCUGAAAGUCACUGACAGGAGGCAGUUAAUAGGAGAAAAGACAUAGACAUUGAUUUGACCAUCGUUUUAUGUGACACGGGAGCCUUCAGAAUGAAGACCCAAAGAUAACAAGGGAAAUCGUGUAUUUGUAUGCUUAGGUUCAACAAAGCAUGGACAGCCGUAUAAAAAAAUGACUGGACAAGGCCGGGCGCGGUGGCUCACGCCUGUAAUCUCAGCACUUUGGGAGGCUGAGGCGGGCGGAUCACAA
rnacentral:lncRNA from 1 species